rnacentral:lncRNA from 1 species
AAACAAGGGGUGGGGAGAAAGUUCGACAAGUUUGAUCUGAAUAAUUUAUCACACCAGUGUGUCAACUCCCUUUGUUCUGGAUCCAAGGGAUAUGCGUUUUAAGCUUUAAUACCAUUUGUGGCUGGACUUAUUAUGUGUGAUCAAAUAAUCCUCAGUCCGGGGAUCUUUUUUAAAGACGGAUUCUUGUUUCAUUUCUUUCAGUCAUGGAAGUAAUUCAAGCCACAAGGUCGACCAGACAACAUGCCCUUGCCCUCUAAGGGCCAGGAACAGCCCGCCUGCUGCCAGGGAUCAGGAGCACAGGCCUGUGGUGGCUGUUCUGCUGAUGAGGGGUGUCAGAGAUGAUCUGCUGCUGGACCUUGAGCGAAUUGUCACGGAGAGCGAAGAGCAUGGAGAUGAGAACACCACCCACCAGUUCACCAGCAUGUCAGAUGACCAGGAGGACCAGAGAGACUCUCCCACUGCCCAGCAUCCUGACGACAAGUCCAGGAUCGAAUUUCUCGGUUGGUCCAUGCCCUACCCAGAGGGGGUGCAGAUUCCAGACUUCCCUGACAGCGAAAGGUACUGGGACUACAUCAAGUAUGCGGAGGCAGUGGACCGUCUCAACAGGUCUUUGGCCCCUGGAAAACCCUGCAGGACAUGUGUGGAGAGACUGCAGAGGAUCUACGGCAUAGAGGCCAGACUGAGCCUGGAACUCAACACAGACGAAGAGUCGGUGCCUGACCAUCCUAGACUCAACACCAGGCCGCGGGUGGACGGCCCCGUGCCCCUGUACUACAAGAGAUCAGGCAGAACCUGGCAGGAGUCCUGUUCCUCUAGUGAAGAAACUUCCGACAUGACAGACUUGGACCUUUGGUCAGACACGUCCCGGAGGGGAGGGGAGAAGAGGGAGUGGCGUGCAUUAGAGAGCCCCCCCUGCGCCUCCGCCCCCCCACUCUCGCCAAAGAGGAUGAUGCUGACAGACUGGAGACCGACAGAGGAUGACUCCGACUAACGCCUGGCCACCGGCAGUGACUAGGGCCUUACUUACCUUUGAUUGGCAGAUUUAGUAACUGUCUUUGACAGAGUGACAUAGUGACCAGCAACGUAUUACGUUUUGACUUUUUCUUUUAUCCUUUUACCAUAUUCUACAAAUAAACAGCAUCAAAUUCCACCUUUUAAUUUUAAU